GGCAAGAUGGCCGAGCGGUCUAAGGCGCCACGUUAAGGAGUUCCAAUCCUUAAUCCACGAUAUGGCAUCUGCGUGGUCUGAAAGGGCGUGGGUUCGAAUCCCACUCUUGUCA